CUGGGCCUGCGAAUGGCACUGGAAGAAUUCACGGGCUUACUACUGGACCCGUGGACUUUUAGUGCCAUCCCCAGAGCCUU
rnacentral:pre_miRNA from 1 species